GAGCCUUGAUGUGUAGGAUAGGUGGGAGGCUUUGAAGCGUGGACGCCAGUCUGCGUGGAGCCGACCUUGAAAUACCACCCUUUAAUGUUUGAUGUUCUAACGUGGACCCGUAAUCCGGGUUGCGGACAGUGUCUGGUGGGUAGUUUGACUGGGGCGGUCUCCUCCUAAAGAGUAACGGAGGAGCACGAAGGUUGGCUAAUCCUGGUCGGACAUCAGGAGGUUAGUGCAAUGGCAUAAGCCAGCUUGACUGCGAGCGUGACGGCGCGAGCAGGUGCGAAAGCAGGUCAUAGUGAUCCGGUGGUUCUGAAUGGAAGGGCCAUCGCUCAACGGAUAAAAGGUACUCCGGGGAUAACAGGCUGAUACCGCCCAAGAGUUCAUAUCGACGGCGGUGUUUGGCACCUCGAUGUCGGCUCAUCACAUCCUGGGGCUGAAGUAGGUCCCAAGGGUAUGGCUGUUCGCCAUUUAAAGUGGUACGCGAGCUGGGUUUAGAACGUCGUGAGACAGUUCGGUCCCUAUCUGCCGUGGGCGCUGGAGAACUGAGGGGGGCUGCUCCUAGUACGAGAGGACCGGAGUGGACGCAUCACUGGUGUUCGGGUUGUCAUGCCAAUGGCACUGCCCGGUAGCUAAAUGCGGAAGAGAUAAGUGCUGAAAGCAUCUAAGCACGAAACUUGCCCCGAGAUGAGUUCUCCCUGAGACUUAGAGUCUCCUGAAGGAACGUUGAAGACGACGACGUUGAUAGGCCGGGUGUGUAAGCGCAGCGA
rnacentral:rRNA from 1 species